GUCUACAGCCAUGCCACUCUGAACACGCGCAAUCUCCUCUGAUCUCGGAAGCUAAGCAGGGUCAGACUCGGAUAGUACUUGAAUGGGAGACCACCUAGAAAGACUAGGUGCUGUAGGCA
rnacentral:rRNA from 1 species